rnacentral:rRNA from 1 species
UACAGAGGGUGCAAGCGUUGUCCGGAAUCACUGGGCGUAAAGGGCGCGUAGGCGGCCCGGUAAGUAGGGGGUGAAAUCUCACGGCUCAACUGUGAGGCUGCCUUCUAGACUGCCAGGCUCGAGCACAGUAGAGGCUGGUGGAAUUCCCGGUGUAGCGGUGGAAUGCGUAGAGAUCAGGAGGAACACCGGUGGCGAAGGCGGUUCUCUGGGCAUGUCCUGACGCUGAGGAGCGAAAGUGUGGGGAGCGAACAGG